ensembl:snoRNA
UGUUGUGGUGGUUUCUUUCUGGCACAUUUGUUAAGUUUCAAAUGGGCCUGACUCUGCCACAUACAUUAUAUAGGAACUAACCAAGGCUUGAAGACAGAUUGUCUUUAGCAUUUUCCCACAUCAGAGAUUGGAUCCCACAUGU